AUUGAAGAGUUUGAUCAUGGCUCAGAUUGAACGCUGGCGGCAAGCCUCAUACAUGCAAGUCGAACGAGAAAGCAUCUUCGGAUGUGAUUAAAGUGGCGGACGGGUGAGUAAUACAUAGGAAUCUACCCAAUGGCGGGGGACAGCUCGAGGAAACUCGAAUUAAUACCGCAUAAUCUCUACGGAGUAAAGAGGGCUUCGGCUCUCACCAUCGGAUGAGCCUAUGCAAGAUUAGCUUGUUGGUAAGGUAAUGGCUUACCAAGGCUACGAUCUUUAGCUGGUUUGAGAGGAUGACCAGCCACAUCGGGACUGAGACACGGCCCGGACUUCUACGGAAGGCAGCAGUAGGGAAUAUUGGACAAUGAGCGAA
rnacentral:rRNA from 1 species